CCCUUAGAUGUUCUGGGCCGCACGCGCGCUACACUGACGGAUUCAACGAGCUUACAACCUUGGCCGAAAGGUCUGGGUAAUCUCCAAAAUCCGUCGUGAUGGGGAUAGAUUAUUGCAAUUAUUAAUCUUCAACGAGGAAUUCCUAGUAAGCGCGAGUCAUCAGCUCGUGCUGAUUACGUCCCUGCCCUUUGUACACACCGCCCGUCGCUGCAACUGAUUGGGUGACCUGGUGAACAUCUUGGACCGGCCCACUCAAUUUCGAGAGGACUGGAAAAAGCCGUAAAUCGGGUACAUCUAGAAAUUGCAAGUCGUAACA
rnacentral:rRNA from 1 species